UAACACGUGGGUGACCUGCCCUUCACUCUGGGAUAAGCCUGGGAAACUGGGUCUAAUACCGGAUAUUCACUACUUGUUGCAUGGUGGGUGGUGGAAAGUCCUGGGCUUAGUUGUCUGGGUUCGGUGGGGGAUGGGCCCGCGGCCUAUCAGCUUGUUGGUGGGGUGAUGGCCUACCAAGGCGACGACGGGUAGCCGGCCUGAGAGGGCGACCGGCCACACUGGGACUGAGACACGGCCCAG
rnacentral:rRNA from 1 species